UUGGAGGGCAAGUCUGGUGCCAGCAGCCGCGGUAAUUCCAGCUCCAAUAGCGUAUAUUAAAGUUGUUGCAGUUAAAAAGCUCGUAGUUGAAUUUCGGGAUUGACACAUCGGUCGUGCCUUAAGGGGUAUGAACUGGUGUAGUCAGUUUCUCACCUUCUGGAGAACCGCGAUGUCCUUAAUUGGGUGCCGCGAGGAACCAGGACCUUUACUUUGAAAAAAUUAGAGUGUUUAAAGCAGGCAUUUUGCUUGAAUACAUUAGCAUGGAAUAAUAAAAUAGGACGGAUGGUUCUAUUUUGUUGGUUUCUAGGAUCACCGUAAUGAUUAAUAGGGAUAGUUGGGGGCAUUAGUAUUCAAUUGUCAGAGGUGAAAUUCUUGGAUUUAUUGAAGACUAACUACUGCGAAAGCAUUUGCCAAGGAUGUUUUCAUUAAUCAAGACGAAAGUUAGGGGAUCGAAGACGAUCCGAUACCGUCGUAGUCUUAACCAUAAACUAUGCCGACUAGGGAUCGGAUGAUGUUAAUUUUUUAAUGACUCAUUCGGCGCCUUACGGGAAAC
rnacentral:rRNA from 1 species